UACAGAGGUCCCGAGCGUUGUUCGGAUUCAUUGGGCGUAAAGGGUGCGUAGGCGGUCUUCUAAGUUUGAUGUGAAAGCCUGGGGCUCAACCCUGGAAUGGCAUUGAAUACUGGAGGACUAGAGUACUGGAGAGGAAACUGGAAUUUACGGUGUAGCAGUGAAAUGCGUUGAGAUCGGAAGGAACGCCCGUGGCGAAAGCGAGGUCCUGGACGUCUACUGACGCUGAGACGCGAAAGCUAGGGGAGCAAACGGG
rnacentral:rRNA from 1 species